GUGCGUUGCAAGUUCCCGAGAGGAUUUGUCUUUGACAAAGAUGCCUUGUAACCGAAUAUUAUUAGGGGGAAUACAUUAUG
rnacentral:sRNA from 1 species